AGUUAUUAUACUCUUCGCUUGUUCUUUAUGCGAAGUUGAAGAUGAUGCAUUGCUACCGCCGUAGACUUGAGGGUUAGGUUGUGGUUGAGCUGGUAGCUUACCCUUCUCUUGAGCACUUAAAGCAGUGGUCAGCGUUGUCAGUUGAUUUUUUAAUUCAUCAUUGAUUUUAGCUUGAUCUUGCAUGAAAGAUUGCAAAGUUUCUUCGAGACUGGGUUUUUGAGGGGGUGUGUGUGCAUAAUGAGGUUGCGGAGGUGGAGUUGGAUUAUAUACUUGUUGAGGUUGGUCAUUCCUCCACCUGAAAUUUGGAUGGUUCUUCCAUCCAGGGUUGUAAGUACCCGAAAAAGGAUUAUUGAAAGAUUUUUGA
rnacentral:lncRNA from 1 species